rnacentral:lncRNA from 1 species
UGAUUUCUACCCUUUAUGCAGAAAGUAAACCCCCACCUUUUCACUAGAUUCCCCAAGUUUAUACAAGUUAUUAUAGAACAAUGAAAAUGAAAAAGAGUAAAAACAUACACCAGAAACUAAUAGCUAGAUCCAAGCAUCCUAUUUCCGACUUAGUGUCUAAUAACAUGCCCUUGAACCACUUCCGGGAUCCAGAUUUUCAAAGCCUUUUCUUUAUUUUGGGUGUUUCAAAGUUCUAAGGAAUUUCAGGAAUUCCUGGCAUUGCUUACACCCAAGAUACCAAUUAGAACAGAAACAGUGCAGUGUGAAAAGGUCAGCUCUCAUGCAUCCAAGUUCAGAAAGAGAUCAAGGGUCCCAAGGCAUGACUUGCAAGAGAGGGGAAGAAGUUAAUUGCUAAGAAUGAGUGUAAGUGUGAAAGUGGUUGGAGAAACCAUGAUAGAUUGAUAGUCAUACCCAGCCAUAAAGCAGGCUGACACACCCCUGACUAACCUAUUUGGUCAAACAAAAUAAAAGCAAACCUAUUGAAGGUCAGACUAUGGUCUGGACAAUGAUUAGGACACUGCUAGACCAAGGUCCUAGACUCAAAGCACACAUAUGGCAAAAAAGAAGUGGGAUUUGAUAGAGUUUAGGACUCAAAGAGUGGUCUAUAUGCAUGAUCAACAUCAUCAAAUGCUGUCAUGCUUUCUGAACCAGAGCUUACAUAUUAAGGGGGUUUAAUGAAGGGAGUUCAGGCAAGAGCAAAUUUGCGGAGAAAGCAGUAGAGUAAACAUUAAAAAAAAAUUGAAACAUAAUCAUAAAAAUACUAAAAGUGUAAACACAUAAGGAAGGGAGGUUACAUUAAACUAAAGAGACAUACCAGUUGCAAGAAGGUAAACAAAGAAAAGCAGAACACUUGCAGCAACAGGCAAACAGAGAAAACUAAAUCAGGACUUCAGCUGAACAAGCCUGAAUGCUUUCGAGAGAAACUUAGAAGUAUUUGAGAAAGAGAAAGAGAGAAAUAGUAUGUUCCUUAGAACUUGUCUGUGUGUUUGAAAGAGGAGAGGGGGAGAGGUAUUUAUAGCUUUUUAAAAUGAGUAAAUAGUAAGGCAAGCAGUAUAAUUUUAACACAAAUAAGGAAAUAUUCACAAGUUAGAAUCAAUUAACCCUAGUGACUUCCCUUUAAUUAAGAAAUCAGGAUGUUAACAUGUUUAAUUAAAGAAAGAAAAUCAAUUUGGAGGCAGACUAGGUAAUACCAUAAAAAGGCAGUAAAAGCAUAAAGUAGACAAUUGAGUCUAAAUACAAAAACAAACUUAUUUAAGGAGAGGAUUCAACAAGGUAAAACAUCACAGUAAAGGAAAAGGAAUUAGUUAAUCUUUUCAAACAUGCGAGUUAAAUUAGGUCUAGUAAGAAAACUUUGAAAUCAGUCAUAAAAUCAAAGCAAUCAAGAUCAAUCAGGGAAGGAGCAUGAUUCUGCACUUCAUAUAAAUAGCAAGGGGUGAAUAAACAUGUUGAGUUAAACACACAAACAUGCAGUAGCCGUAGAGGCAAGCUAGUGUUCAGUAGCAAGAAAGUACUCGAAGCAUAGUAGUCAAGCAGGUCAAGUAAUCACCUGACAUCGACAGUGAAGAAGAACAUAGUAAUAGGUAGGAAAAAUCAAAAACAAGUAGAGGCCUCAGCGUAGUGUGAAACUUCUAAGAAUUUUAGGGCUUUUACAAUAGUCGAGUUUUAAAGAUGGUAAGGACUUAGAAUUAACCGAUCAAACAAGAAAAAGUGACAAACACAAACAGUUUCAGAACUUAGAUAAAUUAGGGUUUUACACACGCUAAAACAAAUAGAAGAAUAAUAUGAGCAAACCAUAACCAAAUCACAAUGAUAUAAGAAAAAUAUGAGAUCUUUAAAAAUAUUUAAAGGAAAUCCCUAAUGAAGGUCGUUUUUGCAAGAAAAGAAGAGGAACUUUCAUGAAAACACUUAAAAUAUUUAUGAAAAGCACAGAUAUAAAGUAGAUCUGAAAGAAAAACCAAAAAAUAUCAGAGGUUACAGUUUUGAAGAACCCAGAAGGUGAGAAAGGCGUUGAAAAUUAACGAUUUAACCAGAAGAGUCGUGUAUCUGACACGAACAGCCAAGGCUGGCCGGAGAAUAGUCAGGGACAACCAGAGAGGAGCCAUGAAUAGACGUCAAGCCAAGCCUGGACAAGCUUCCCUUGAGAACUGGUCGUGAAACCACAUAGAUGAACACCCAGGAGCCCACAUGGGCCGUUAAUUAUCAUCCAACGGCCAGAGGAGGUCAUAGAUUAUGGUUUCAGGUGAGGCGGCGACUAGGGUUUGAUGGGUGAGUUGAGAGAGAAUUGAGAGAAGAAAGGAA